UACAGAGGGUGCAAGCGUUAAUCGGAAUUACUGGGCGUAAAGCGCACGUAGGCGGCGCGCUAAGUUGGAUGUGAAAUCCCCGGGCUUAACUUGGGAAUUGCAUUCAAGACUGGCGUGCUGGAGUGUGGGAGAGAGAAGUGGAAUUCCAGGAGUAGCGGUGAAAUGCGUAGAUACCUGGAGGAACAUCAGUGGCGAAGGCGGCUUCUUGGCCCAACACUGACGCUGAGGUGCGAAAGCGUGGGGAUCAAACAGG
rnacentral:rRNA from 1 species